rnacentral:rRNA from 1 species
UACGAAGGGGGCAAGCGUUGUUCGGAAUUACUGGGCGUAAAGGGCGCGUAGGCGGCUUAUCAAGUCAGGCGUGAAAUUCCCGGGCUCAACCUGGGGGCUGCGCUUGAUACUGAUGAGCUUGAAUGCGGGAGAGGAUAGUGGAAUUCCCAGUGUAGAGGUGAAAUUCGUAGAGAUCAGGAAGAACACCGGUGGCGAAGGCGGGUCUCUGGGCCGAUACUGACGCUGAGGAGCGAAAGCGUGGGGAGCAAACAGG